GUAGCCUAUCAACAGUCCCCUUUCACGUGUAGUUUGGCUUCAUUUUCCGGUCAGGGCAAAACAUUGCUGCGGGUACUAUUUCACGUGAAAGUUGACGUCCUUUGACAUCCUUUCAAUUGCACAUUGUGAAACAUAACAUUUUCAAUUUUUCGGCGUCAAAAUGGUUCAUUCCUGAUGCGCCGUCGGCUGUCAAAACCGUGCAGGCGGUCGCAAAGAAGUCACUUUUCACCGAAUUUACGAGCCCACGGACGCAGGUGACGUCACGCUUGGGCCUACCCAGAUAUACGUGUCAACCGCCUCACGCAUGGUAGUCCGGCGCCCGUGUGGAUCAGUGGUUACAUCGUUGGUUUGGAAAAAAAAAAAGAGCAAAAACUGGCCGAACUCGUCCGAUACUUUCGUGGCAGAGUUUAUGUAUGCAAUAUGAUGAACGCGACGACUCUGGAGCCAUCCCCUUCCACGUCUCCAUUAAACGGUAUACCGACGAAAAUCUUUCUCAUUCGGAGAAGGUUCCAGGCGACGGAGUUGAAGCGGCAGCGCUAUUAGCGUCCGUCGUAUGCUGCCAACGCACAUUGCGCCAGGGCUUUGGAAAUCCCAGUUGCAUAGCAACACGUCCGUGGAAAUAAUGAAAUAAAACUCGGGCACAAAACGUAAAUACCGUUCGGCUUGGAGAGAGUCUGCGCUUUUACUUUUCAUUUGAACUGACCUUCAGGGCAAAGAAUUCAGUAAAACGCGAAGAAACAUUGCUUUUUUCACCCGUUAGUAUUUCCCUCGAUGUCAUUCCAAACAUGUCUCGGUGUUAUUCAUCAGAUUUUAUCUCACUUCUAAGUUAACGUUUUUUUAAAAAAAAUUAUUUUAUUUUAUUUUAUAUGGACGUCACAACAACUUUACCUAAACCAAACGCAUCGUGUUCAGUGAUUUAGCACGAGUGGUCACUCUCCACCCAGGCAAGUAUCCAUCCAUUUGUUCAUUUUCUGAGCCGCUUAUCCUCACAAGUGACUGUACUCCAGAAUUAUGUAACACUCUAAUUGUAAACUUGAGAUACUCUUUGUUGGGAAGACCAGGAACCUAUGCAAUCCAUCGGGGUCGUGAUAAAAGCGUGCAUUUGGAAAAGGGUGGACUCUGGCUACAGUCCUCAAGUGCUAAAAAAACAAAACAAAAUAUCUGUUAGAUUUCAAUUUUGUGGGGCAAAAUAAAUAAAAAUGACGUCCAGGUUUUUCACUUGUGGUGAAAUGUGUGCACUUGUGUGCCUCCUGCCCGAAGGCUGCUGGGAUCGGCUCCGGGACCCCAGCGACCCUUGUGAGGAUAAGCGGUUCGGAUAAUGGAUGAACGAAUGCUGUGGAUUUAAAACAUUGUGCUCGUUUCUCUGGAACCCGGGGCCAUUGACGAAGACUUUAGUUUUUCCCCGCUUGAAAGUGUCCAUAAAAUGUUUGAAACACAUGUUGGGGUCGGGAUCGGGCCAAGAAGACAUGUUGUGAGGCUCACUGUCCAGAGAUAUUUGUUAGCGAUCUCAGCAUGUACAGUUUGUACUCCAACAGUUGUGUAUGAAUUCCUACAGUUGUGUUGGUACUCCCAUGGUCAUGCAUAUACACCCACAGUUAUGUAUUUUGUCACAUUCGUGCAGAUACUUCCACGUUUGUGUGUCUCGUCUCACAGUAACGUAUGCACACAAAAAGUGCUGUUGUAAGGUCUAAUAAGUGCUUUCAAUUUGGCAGGAAUUAUAAUUUAAUAGGUGAGAAUAGAGCAUGAGAAAGUCAAGACUUUUUAACACCCAUAAUUGCUGAGGGCUGCCCUUUUUUUAAAUUUAUGUAUUUAUUUAUUAAACAAGAGGAGGGCACGGCUGUACAAUUGGCUGAAGAGCACCGGGCCGCGGAUGCUUUUCUGGACGGCAAUCAUCGAGCUCAAACAAGUUA